GAAUACUUUUGCAAGGCAAUGUUUGCCUGAUAAAAUUAAGUGCAGAGUUAGAAUGGGGUUACAGAGUAACAGAGAACCUCACAUAAACCUCUGUGCUGCACCUCAACAACUGCAUGUGGUUAGUUUGAAAAUACUAUAUCCCUGAAAACAGGUAACAUCUGCUUUCUGCCAACACCGCUAAGGCUGUAGGUUGACAGGAGGAAAUGGAGCCAAUGGGGCUAAUGCAGCUAUUUGGAGCUAAUGGUGCACAGCACAUCCACAGAGCUAGAAAGACGACUCAUCUCUAUUUCAAAGAAGUUCAUUUUCUUCUUAUUUUGUGUUUGAAGAAAAGCAUAAAGCUAAUAUUGGUGAUUUACCGCCACCUGCAGUGCUGGAGUCCUGAACCAAAUCUUAUCAUUCAUUUAUUGUGGCCACUAGAUAGCAGUGAUAUAGCUUAAAGCCAUGACAAACCAAGACAAUGCUCUGAUCCUUAGCUGAUCACUCCCAACCCAUAGGAAUCCCCACCCAAUUGACUACUUUCAUAUCAUGAAUGUUAAUUGUGGUGUCUUCAUUGGUGUUUAAAUUCAACUUGCCAGUUACCAGCUCAAUGCUUCAAACUCAAUGUGUAUUGCAACUCUAUUCGAGGUGCCACAGCAAAAAUAGUCCACCUACACAUUGGCAGAAGUUCCCUUAACAAACAUGUUCAAACCUGUGGCAUGCUCAAACCCUGUGGGCUGUUGUGGGUGAAGUAUUCAAAGGGGCCACACCUCUUGAAGGUUUUUUGAAGCAGUGUGAACAGCCUUCCAUAAACCCUUUGUACAACUGCUGCACCUCAACUAGAACAUUUGAAGAUGUGAGGUCGGGGAUACAGUCAACUUCUACAACACCUGGGCAGACAACUAUGAUCAGGAUCAUGCACUUCUGGACUUUUACGGGCCGUGUAGUGCCUGCAAAAUGCCUGUCCUGUUUCCAUGGUGACCGGGAGACAGCUAUGGUUCUGGACUUGGACUGUGGUACCGGAAUGGUCGCAUCACUGCUGAAGAGGAUGGGCUUCAGGCAUUUUGUGGGCGUUGACUGGAGCAAAGGCAUGCUGGAACUGGCCAAUAAGACGGGCCUCUACCAGGACCUCAAGCAAUGCAUGCUGGGAGACUAACCACUUCAUAACCAAGCUGGUACCACCGAACUUUGAACUUUAUAUAAUUUAUAAUAUGGAUGAUAAUCAGCUAAAAUCUUUGAAUUGAAACAAAGUGGCACACAGAGAAGGACGGGAGCUGCCCUGAUGUGCCCUUUCAUUAUAUUCCUCUGUCUUCAUCCUCUUGUCACACGCUAUAUUUCUCUGUCUUCAUCCUCUUGUCACACGCUAUUCCCACUCAGAAGCGAGAGCUAUGGAAUUUUCCUUCCAAAUUAUCCCAUUCACUCUUCAAAGGGGCAAUCUGCAGUUGCUACAUCAAUACAUUUUUUGAAUUCAGUCAGAAGAGCAUGUCCUCUGGCAGUGAGGCCUUUCCUUACUGCUUCUUCAAACAUCUUUCAGUAACGUCUCUCAUCAUCCUCAUGUCAUUCUCUGGGCCACAGGCAGCUUUAGCCUUCAUCUGCCUAGAGUGGUACCUUAGGUGUUGCUGUGGUUUCGCAGGAUCUUGACUCUCUCUCUCUCGUUCCUCUCUUCUACCUCCUCUAUCUCAACCACUCCCGGCAGGUGUGUUUGAUGUGGAUGUGGUCGUCAGAGCUAUGGCUCAUGGUUAGGCACCUGUGAGUGUUGUCUGAGAGCUGUGUGAGGCCCUUAAACCAGAUUCUUCAAAGCAGCCACCCUUUGGCUUAAUGACAGCUUUUCACACUCUUGGCAUUGCAAGUAUGGCUCGUUCACCUGAUCACCAAUUGUGAUUACAGCAUUCCCAAGAGUCUAGAUCAGAUAUACAAUAGAAAUAUACUGUGCAGACAUCAAGAUCUUCUGAAUGUCCAGAUGAAAAACCAUCAGAAGAUCUGACAUUCUUGUCUCAUGGCCUGAUUACUACCUAACCUGGGCUGUGUCAGAAUGGGCGUACUAUCUUAUUUAGUAUGUCACGCCAUGGGGACGGAUUGUAAAACUCACUAUAUACUGUAUAUUCUGUGUCACUGCCGUCUCUUUCCUGCCAAGUCAUGCAACGUGAUCCCUCGAUGGCCCGUGGAGUACAGAGGCUGAGCCUGAUUUAUUUAUUUUUUGGUCUGGUGAUGGCAGUCUUCUGCAUUUUGGGUUGGUCGGACAUCAAGGACCACCAUACCUGGGAAUUCACACGUGUUGAUGGCAACAUUGUCAAAGCACGGAGCGCUUGGAAGACCUGCGAAAGCCGAAAGCUCUGGAGAACUGAAGUGUCAAGAGCAUGAUCCUGACUCCUUUGAGAAGCUUCCAUCAUAUUUGCGCAAUGCUCAAGACUUGAUCAAUAGAACUAUCAUUAUAAGCGUAAGGCAUAUUGUUUGGAAUAUGUGCCCUAGCUGAAGCCCACAAUUCAAGAAGAAAACAUUGCUCUUACUACUGUAAUUAAUUUCAUGCUCUCUGGACUGUGUCCUCAACGCUUCCAGCUGGGCGGCCAAUGGCCUCUCAAACAACCAGCAUGAGCUGUCAGUGGCUGAUGGUCAGAUGUGGGAAUUCGGGAACUGUCUCUACAUUGGCUGGGUGGCUGCAAUCUAACUUGUCCUGGGAGGGGCAUGCUGGUUAAAUGCCACUUUGGACUUUAAUCUUAUAUCUAUUAAAGCAUGCUUUGAUUCGUUUUAAUUAUGUUCAGUCUAUUAACAGUAAAAUACAUGUUGUCGGUGAUGUAAACCUGCCAAGGACCGCAAUACCUCGGAAGUCAAACGGGUUCAUGGCAACAUUGUCAAAGCACGGAGCUUUUGGAAGACCUGUGGAAUAGAAAGCUCCAGAGAACUUUGUACAGAAUGUGUUUUUGAGAAAGAUUAGAUUUGUACUACUUUGUAAACAGUUAAUGUACUAACCAGCAAGUCAGUUAAAAAUACUUCACCAAAACCCUAUUUAUUUUUCUCUGAGUUUCAAUUAGUUAGAUUGCUUUAUGUAUUUUAGUCUCUUAUGUUGAUAUAUAAUUGAUCAAAUAUGGAGUACUUGUUUUUAAUUUCCUUCCAUCAAUUCCAAUAGUUUGUAGCUGUUACUUUUUGUCAGUUUAAAAUCUACCCAAUCUGGGAUGGUUCUUAUCCAUAAAUGUAACAACACUGCAAAAAAUGUUUUUUAAAUCAUCGAUGUUAUUAGAUUUAAAUCAUAUGGUGUUGCUUUAA